UAACGUGCGAAGGGGUUACCUCGAGUGCCACCUGAAGAAGGUGGCUUUUCCUUGGUCUAAAAAGCCUCGGGAAUAAGAGGGGGGCAAGACUGGUGUCAGCCGCCGCGGUAACACCAGCCCCUCGAGUGGUGGGGAUGAUUAUUUGGCCUAAAGCGUCCGUAGCCGGCCGGGUAAGUUUCCCGUUAAAUCUAACGUCUCAAGCGUUGGACUGCGGGAAAUACUGUCUGGCUAGAGAGUGGGAGAGGUAAGCGGUAUUCUGGGGGUAGGGGCGAAAUCCUUUGAUCCCCGGAGGACCACCAGUGGCGAAGGCUGCUUACUAGAACACGUCUGACGGUCAGGGACGAAAGCUGGGGUAGCGAACCGGAUUAGAUACCCGGGUAGUCCCAGCCGUAAACGAUGCAUGCUAGGUGUUGGGUUGGCCACGAGCCACCCCAGUGCCGCAGGGAAGCCGUUAAGCAUGUCGCCUGGGAAGUACGAUCGCAAGAUUGAAACUUAAAGGAAUUGGCGGGG
rnacentral:rRNA from 1 species